GACUUUAUGGAAGAAAGUUCAUGUGAUAUAUAGCUUCUUCGUAGUGAGAAAGAUUGUGGCACACAUUGUUACAUUCAUCUUCUAUUGUGUGGUCUUACCGGCUACGGUUCUUGUACCUGAAGUUACUGUACCUAAAUGGGGAGCGGUUUACAUUCCGUCCAUCAUUACUCUCCUCAACGCUGUCGGUACACCUAGGUAAAUAAAUAUCCCAAAGAGUUUCUUACGGCUCAAGUGACGUCUCGUUUAGCCUCUCAUUGUUUGUUACACGUAUCUUAUAGGUCACUCCAUCUCAUGGUAUUUUGGAUUCUGUUCGAGAAUGUGAUGUCUCUUCACAGAACAAAAGCUACUUUCAUCGGUUUACUCGAAGGAGGAAGAGUUAACGAGUGGAUUGUCACUGAGAAGCUCGGUGAUCUUAAGGCUAAGUCAGCAACCAAGGCUCCAAAGAAGCUUCGUUUUAGAUUUGGAGAUAGGUAAGCUUCUCCACGUGUCUUAUAGGUCACUGAAUCUUAUUUGCACUUUUGUUUCAUUCUAAUAACUUUUCUUUGGCAGAAUCCAUGUGUUGGAACUCGGUGUAGGAAUGUAUCUGUUUUCUAUCGGAUGCUAUGACGCGUUAUUUGGGAAGAAUCAUUAUUAUCUAUACCUUUUCGCGCAAGCAUUCGCCUUCUUCAUCGCUGGAUGUGGGCAGAUUGGGACAGUGGUGCCUAACUAUUGAAUGGAAAAUGGAUUGAUCGAGCUACAAACUGCUCGAGAAUAAGAUGAUGAUUUUAUAUUUUUUUCUUGGCUACUCUUUAAUUUCUUCCUGGUGUGAAUAGAGAGAAUUGAUGAUACGAUUGUUACAGAAGAUGGUGUGUGUAGUUGUGGAAGAUAUGGAUACCUAUAGUAAAGAAGAAUAUAUAUAUUUUCAAGGGGGGUUUUCAUAUUCCUCAAAGACAAUAGAUCAUUUCUUGCAAGACAAAAGCUUUUGAUUCCAAUUUCUUUGUAUCAAAUUAUUGUAUUGUACAAAUAUGGAGGUACAUGAUAAAGGAAGUCAUAGUUUCCGAUGCUCCGCCGCCUUUCAAUAAUGCCUGAGAUCUGGUUUCCGCCAUAGUUUCCGAUCGCUUCGCCACCGUUUCCGAGGAAAGAAUGUCUCUGAUACCACUGAUAAAAGAAGUCACUCCUUUAUGAUCGAUCUAAUGUUCUUGAAACACCAAAUCGUAGCUCUCGAGUAAUAGAUCUAUAAGAGAGAAAGAUCUAAAUCCUCAAAUAACAAUCCAUGAAUCGAUAUUAGAAUUCCAGAGGUUUUUAAGAAAGUUUUACAAAUGAUUUCUGAAUGAACUGAAUAGAGUACGCAGACUCUGUUUUAUCUACUCCAAAAGAUGAACUCCUCCGAUCAGCUGGCGCGAAGCCGUUGUAACAAACUCUUAACUUCUCCCUUCCUCCACUAGUUACUCAACACGUGUCUCUUACUUCUCCUGUAUCAGUACACGAUAAUCACAUUCUAUGAAAUAGCUUGCAACAUGCAGGAUUUGAAAGAAUUGUCAUCUUUUGCAUCUUUUAUUCAAACAAACGUUGCCUUUGUGGUCGCUACUUCUAUAAUGUUUGAAGGUUUUCUUUCGAAUGAGAAAGAAUGAUAAAUUGUUUUCUUUAUUGCAUAUAGUGGGCCAUAUAGUGGUAACUGAACGUUUAUAUUGUUUGGUUUCUUCAGUUCAGUUGAAACAUAGUUUCUAGAUGACCAAAUUUUUAUGGGUUUGGACUAAAAAAAAAUUACUAAACCACCAUACACAGAAUAAAACUGGAUCUACAAAAAAAUUGCAAAUUUGCAAUCAUAUCAAAAAUGAUAUUAGUGUAAGUCUUUUUAAUCUAGAUUGGACAUGUAACAAGGUUCAGAAAAGGAAAAAAACAAUUUGCAGGCUGCAGGCUGUGGGGUUCGAACCCACGCGCACUUAUGUGCAGAAGAACUUAAGUCUUCCCCCUUAACCACUCGGGCAAACCUGCUAGUUGCUAUACACUAACUUUUAUCAUCUACAUCCUCAUUUUAUGCCAAUGGCAUUUCCCUUCGGAGCCCAUAUGUUAGCUACGUUUAUAUUAUUUAACCCUUUCAGGGCCCAUUGGGUUUGGCUUACUAUGUUUUAUCGACGUUGCGCUAUCUGAAGAUCUCCAAUUGUACGAAUCCAAGAAAAUUUUGGUUUUUCCGACAAAAGCCAACAUAAAUAUCAUAUCCACCAUAUUAGCACUAAACACAAAGGGUCUAGCAAAGUUUCGUCUACCCGACGAUUAGGAAAAAGAUAACUAAACUGGUUAACUCGCAAACUCAAAGUUUUGAAAACCGAAUUACAUCAAAAGUCUAAAAAAGCUUAUGGAUACUCUCUUUUCUUCUUCAUCAGAUUUCAAGCAACUCCACUGUGUUUGGCCUUGGUGUGCGACUGCAAGCCCAUCUCCGAAGUAAACGUUCUGUUGCAGGAGCUGCACCCAAAUGCAUUUGCGGACUUUGGUGUCUGCUGCUGCUGCUGCUUCGACGACUCUCCAUUGCUUCCAGAGCUCUUUCCUCCCUUUGACGGAUGCGGAGUCGCAACGUGGACGUGUGGCUUCUUCGAUUCUGUUUUCACAACGUUUAAGAUUAUUAUAUCAAGACAUCUUUAUAACUCACAGUAAAGAAAGAACGAGGAUCAGAUAGAGUCACCUGAUUUCUGAGGAGUUACGAACUUAGCCUUCUUGUUUGAAGCAGUCUUCGAGGUGGUGGCUUCCGCAGGCCUCUUCUUGGCUUCUUCAACCUUUUUAUAAAACAAGAAAAUUAUAGUCAGAUUUGCGUUUGACACAUAAGUGAAAUUGCUGCAAAAAAGGCAAGAGAACAAAUAUAUACAAGUUUAGCAUCAACAAUCACAUAUAAAGAGAAUAUAAUGUACCUUCUUCUCAGGGGUCUCCUCAUCUGAUGAGUCAUCUUCCUCAUCGUCAGAUGAGUCUUCGUCAUCAUCGUCCUCUUCAACUUCAGCAGUAACCUUCUUUUCUUCCUGAAACAAAGUAGAGAUCGUAACAAUGAAGGGUGUAAAUGAUAUAGGUGACACACUACAGGCAGCAUAUUUAUUCACCAAACAAUAAAAGCAUCCCCUUUUCUCUAACUAGGAUACUAAACACAAGAGCUAAGCGUUCAUGUGUCAUCUUCAAGCGCAAGUUAAAUUCUACAAAGUGAUCACAUUAUUACAUAAACAAAAGUGUACCUCCUCAUCCUCAGAGUCGUCAUCAUCCUCAUCAUCAUCACUAUCGUCCUCCUCAUCAUCUUCCUCGGCCUUGGCAUCGUCAUUAGGCAACUGAAAGUUCACCUGCUUCACACCUGAUUUCGUAACAGCUGGCUCAGCAGGCUCAUCAUCAUCAGACUCAGUAAGACAGAACAAGAGAGUUAAGGAUAUCAAACAAGCAAAGCAAGUCCCAAAAGCAUAUUCAUCAAUAAAUUAUCAAAGGUUAAGCAGCGAUAAGGAUAUGAAUCAGAUUCAUGAGCAUCAACUCUGUAGCCAGAGAAGAAAACGCUCCCAUCCUUCCAACUAUGAGACAGCUCAAAACUCCUCUCCAGCACAAUCUCCGUGCAGAGCUGAGGGCACUUAUCGUGUGACAGCGUCCCAAUCACAAGCUUCUGGUCUCCGACUUUCAUGUAGAGCCUGACCGGCUCGUUUCCACCGUUCUUCUUCUCGUGCAGAGACUGUCGUCGUCGUCAUCAAGAUAGUCAUCUCUGGCUUCAUCUCACUGCAUCGUCUGAUCACGGGAAUCGCAGCCAUUCCUUCACCUGAAGAGAGAGAGUCACCACAAUAAGAAGAGCUUGAUUUCUCGAUUUGGAGACUAAUCGAGAUGAUCGAUCAAUUGAGGUUUCUAACCUAACGAGACGGCGUGAAACCAGACGAGCGAUCCCGGCGGGCGUACGGCGGAGGGAUGACCGAACCGUUCGUGCCACCGGCGGGAGUGUUCUAGGCCUCGGAGCCUGCGCCACCGCGUAUGGAGGUGAAGAAAUGGUGAAGCGCUGUAGGUUAAGGCUCUGUAUAAUCUGUAUACGAGCACUCCGAGCUCCAUCGCGCAUCCGCCACUCAGCGACGACGUCUGCUCUGCUCUAUUCAUUGAAGACUGCUUCUAGUACGACGCCGUAUUGUAAUCGGGCCGUUUAAAGCCCAUAAUAUUAGUAAAUUAUUUUCUAGCCUUCAACUUUGGCCCAACAAGGAUAAACGCUUCAAUGGUCAAACGCAUAAUCACGACUGUGUCAUGUGAGAGAAUAAAGUACAUGUUAUUCAUUACUUGUCCGAAUGAUCUUCAGAUUCUUCGAAAUGGUAGCCAGCAUAAUAUUCUGGACACCUAGAAUUUUGUUUAAAGAGUAAAAAAAAGUUAUAACAGUAAAAAAUUAAAUGAAACUAUCCUUUUGCCUUUUCUCAAAGAAGGUUGGGAAAAAUGUUAGCGGAAUAACUUUGAUAGCAAGUUUAGCUUCCCACGUGCCAUGUUGUUGCCUGCUGUUUGAGCCUUUGUCUAUGGUUUCAGAUGAAUCUGGAAUUUACAUUCGUCUAUCUAGUCCAUUUAAAAGUUAAAUAUUUAGCUAGAGAAAUUCUCUGAAAUGUCUUACUUUAUCGUCGCUGUAAAAAUUAUGACCAAAGUUGUAGUUCUCUUAUACUAUAUAAUCAGCAUCUUAGUCUUAUACGAUUGUUUGAUUGAUGGACGUAAGAGCAAACAAUUAAUGAAUAGAAUGUCAAAGAUGGCUAUAAUUUCGUUUAAAGCGGCAAAAGAAAGUAAUAGUAUAUGAUCAUCCACCUAAAAGUUAAACAUACAAAAAAUUCUGGACCUCGGAUCUAUCCCAUUACAUAUAUAUAAUCAGAAUUAGUAAUGAAAUUGAAGCAGGUGAGAAAAAGAGUGAUGAAGACUUGGUCUUGAAGACUAAGGUGCGGUGUCUCCUUCCCAUAUCGGAGCCAAAUUGCACACAUCAACUAAGUAGUUCAUAGACCUUAACCAUUUCCAAUGAUAGCAUUUUCGAGUCGUAUUAUGUAAUGCAAGCAAACAAAAUUAAAUUAUAAAAAGACGUAUUAAGAUUCCUUUUAUGUUUUUUUUUUUUAAUUUACUUACGGUGAUUUGAGUUUUUGAGGUUGAAUACGUAUUAAGAUAUUUAGAGGUUCUUUCGAUAAGAAUGAAAAAUAUCUCUAAUUCUUUGCACAUUAUGUAGCAAAUCAAAUUUACUAUUUUACCUAAUCAAAAUACAUCACAAUUCACAAUUCACAACAUUACUUUAUUACUUGUAUUCAAAGUUAAGUAUUCAAUCAUAAACUUAUGUUUUGAUGAGGAUCAGAUUUAUUACGUAAGAUUUGGUUUUAUGAUUUAUUAUAAGUUUGUAACAAGCGUAUGUUACUAUCUGCGAUACACACAACAUGCAACAUCAUGAUGAACGAUUAUAUUCCCAAAAUUUUACAUUAUUUACAUCUAUAGUAUAUAAGAAAAUACAUGAUAUCAUAUCGAGCUUCAUGCGUAUUAAGUAUAGGCCAUUAAAAAUUCAACUAAGAGGUUUCAUGAACUUCAUGUAAUCAUUGUAAAAAAAUUGUAUACGUGAUGUAAUAUAUAUAUACACAAAAUAUAUGUGCCGACAAUUAAAAGUCGAAAUAAGACCCUAAAAUAAAUGGAGAGAGGGGGAGUUUCAGUUCCAAAGUAGAUAGGAUAUCAAUUCUAUAUGAAGUAUGGACAUUGGAUCCCACCAAUUGUUCUGAAUUGUGUUUUCUACAAAACUUGAUUGAUUCUUUGAAUAUUUUCAUAUUUAUUAUAGCUUUUUGCAAACAUAUUUAUCAUAACAAAAGUAACAUGCCCAUUUUAUUUUGAAUAACUAACAAUAGAAAUACAUAUACAUACUUUUUUCUUUCGAAAAUUAAUAUAUAGUCUAUUUGUUAAUGUUUUGUUCCUGGAGUAGAGAUGAAAGGUCGAGUACACGUUAGUGAGUAGGAACCUUCAUAAAGAGAUACACUGAUAGUAGUUUCUUUUAGUUUUGUUUUGAGGUAUACGGUUUAGUUGAUGAAAAUAUACUCGACUGUGAAGAAAAGAAUGCUUUUUUUUUGGACAAUAAGAAAAGAAUGCUUAAGAAGUCUUUGCUAACCAAAAUCAAUUUACAGUUUUAUACAGAUGAUAUAUCAACCUCUUUUUAAUUUAUUUCGCUUUUACAGUUUUCACGUAAACAGCUUACGACGGGUAUAUAAGCGAAAUUAAACCAUUAAAUUCAAAAUCUAUUGGCUUAAGUUUUCUAACUUUUAUAUGGGACCAGUUGUGAGCACUGUGUAUAUGGGUAUAUUCCUGAGCAAUAAUGUAAUACGUAGGGUGACCAAUAAUAUAUAUUUACGAAUCUGUUGCUCCAAGUCUUUUUUUCUUAUAAUUCUGGUUAUUAUAUGCCAAAGCCAAACAGCUCCUCAGUGAAGGGUUCGAAGUUGUUCGUGGGGUAAUCUUGUAUUUAGUCUACCAUUUUUUGUUUGGUUAUUCCAUUUUAUCUAAUUAUCGGUCAUUAUUUUUUUCCAAAUCUAUUUUAUACGUGUGUGUCAUGAUAAAAAAAAAAUUAGAUGUUAUAUCACACUUACUAGAUAAUCAGUUCUCUGUAAAAACCCCGUAAAUUAUCAUUAAUUUUAGUAACAUGACUCAGAAUUAUUGAAAAUGAUGAAAAAUGAAAGGAAUGGUGACAAAUGUGAGUGAAAGAAGCAAAGUCCAUCUGUAAGAAGUAAGAACCCAUGUGUUAUUUGGUCCUUUUACAUUAUGUUUACUUGCAAGGCACUGCAUGUUACUUCCUGGCUGCAUGCAACAUAUGUAGUGCUAUUUUACUUCUCCAACUUUUGUUUUUAUUCAUAUUCCAUUUUUCAUUAUUAUAACUCUGCACACAAUUUUAUUGUUGUUUAAGUUACCAUGAUAAUAUAGAGAUAUAAUCAUACAUACUUGUUUCGCAUUCAAAGAAAUCAAAAGCCAAUGGCGAAUAUUAGUUUUUUUUUUUUUGAUCAAAUUUUUUUUUUUUGAUCAAAGGCGAAUAUUAGUUUCGUGUGUUAAAGAAUGGCAAGUAACAUAUUCAAAAUUAACAAAGAUGAUUGAGAUCUCGACAAAUUAUAUGAUUAUAGUUAUUAUGUAUAUUAGUUAACUCAAGUUUGUUUAUGAUAUCACUAAAUCUAUGAAUAUAUGUUAGAUAAUGGUCUCGGCAUGUGUUCUCCACAUGACAUGCCAACCAAAUACAGACUUUAAUUUGUCAACUUACUGACCUGAUAACUGAUUACAACACGAAAUACGCUAUAAGAAGUACAGGCAAAAAAAAAUCAAAAAUCAAAAUUCCUAACUAUUUAAAUUAUAAAUAGGUGUUUUGGUACUGGACCGACAGAAAAUGAAUCAUUCCGUAUGAAGUAUCUUCAUAAACUGAAAUGUUCGUUUUAGUGUUGUAAUGUCAGUGUUGGCUAAAGUAUCCGAAUAAAAUAUGACUAAUUUAACAAGUGUGAAAAGAUGAUUACUAAAACCACAGUGUUUUAUAAUUACAUAGAAUUGUCUAAUGCUAAUGCAAGGUGAUUACUAGCACUGAACGACCGUCUAGGUUCUAACAGUCAACCUCAGCCGUUGGGCAGUCCUUUUUAUCCAGCUGUGUGUUUCAUCUUACUACUUAUCACCGCUUAAAAUUAAUCGAGAUCCAUUUUACUUUUAAAAUAACAUUAUCUCGUUAAGUUCUUAAUUACUACUAUAUAGUAGUUUGCGAAGUAUAUGAAAUAGAAUGAUUGAUGGACGAAGUGGAAACGUGGGUCGAAGACUCGAAGUUUAUGAAAUAAUUGACUUUUCCUACUUUUACUUUAAAGAAUUGACUUUAAGCAAUGUUUUGAAUUUGUUAAUAUUUAUGAUAUUAAAUAUAAUAAGCUUAAUAUUUAUGAUAAUCAUUAAAUAUACUAAGCUUAAAAUUUUCAUAUAAACAUUUACAAACGGACCGUCGGUGCGCUAUAAAUCAGCAUCGCAAAUUAGCCAUAAAACAAAUGUGCUUUGUUAGAUAUCUUUGAGUGUUUUUCUGUGCAAAAUGUCUUAUUCAUUUUCUACACGGGAGCUUUUGGUCAAUUUCGACUGGUUAGCAACAUUCCAUAUCAUUUCCAAGAGGGGUGACCAUAUCUGUUCUGCCUCAAGUCUUGAAUUGUUCUUUGGUUUUAAACAAUUGUAAUAUUCUAGAGUAUGGUGUCAUUUUAUACGAUUACAAAACUAACACUAGUACUUUUAUAUCGAUAUGACUAACUUACCUUCAUAAUCCAGAUCAAAGUUGGAGAGCUCCUUCGUGGUUUAUAUUUGUUUUUUAUAGAAAUAAGUGAAUAUAUAUAAUAAUGUUACAUUGUUACAAAUGCGAUCAAAAUGCAUAUAUAAAAUAUUGUUACAUAUACUUUACUGGAUUUCGCAGACAAAAUUGGGAGUUCUAUAUCUGUUUCUCUACAUAUGGACCACUGCAUGAUUUCAAUAUCUUGUUCUAUAGAAUCGAUCAUUCGAUAAUCUUGAGAGAUUUUCAUUAUCCUGUAACGAGAUGAGGACAACGAUACGAGACAUAUUAUUUCAUCGAGAAACGAACCGAUAUAAUCACUUUACUAUUGGAAUCAACUGGUUAUACAAGUUAUUGGGGUAUAAAACUGAUAUACAUCAUGCGUUUACAAUGCAUGAUUUUCGUUUAGUUUUGAAUCACAUACAGUAAAUAGCAUUUGGCCUUCAAGUGUUAGCUCUGUAUUAAAUUACCAAAUAUGAUAUACUAGGCCGAACUCUUACGACUAAUGUAUAUGAUAUAUACAACAUUCAAAAUAUUGCUAGACUUUUUUGGGGUUAAAUAUUGCUAGAAGUUAGUCAACUGUCUAUGAAACUAAUCUAAAAUUAUUUAUUCGUUGAUUUCUUAAAAAAAAAAGAAAUUAAACAUUAGUCAGAGAAACAAAUAUUAACUAUAGCCCAGAUUAAUUUAAUCAGCGUUGUCUACCAAUUUGUUUUGACUGAGAUGGUCGUAUAUUUACGAACGCCUAGACGGCUAAAAUUUGGAACAUAUUCUACAUUUUUUUCUGGAGAAACAGGUUAAAUUAAAAUAACAUUUUGCUUAACUCAGACCUGGACAUCAUUAAUGUUUGUGACGUUCAAUAAUGUUUGGUAGUUAUAUAGAAAGAGCAAAUGGAUGGUUGAUGAAGCAAACAUUUAUUUGUGUACAAUAAAUUAUAAAUACAAACUACAGUAUAAAAUAAGCCAAAAAUUAAAAGUGGAACCAUACAAUACAAGGGCAAAGGCUUUAUAUAAAGACAUUCAUCUCUGUUUCAUUUUUCACACAUACACUGAUACAGACACACUGUCUCUUCUCUCUCUCUCUGUUUAUGUUCACAGAUCUCUCUCCUCUCCUCUUCCUUUCCAAAACGAUCUCCUCCUUCACCACCUUUCAUUAUAAUCUUUCCUCUCUUACCAAACCAUAAAACAAGAAAACAAACCUAAAAAACAAAAACUUAAUUCUCCUUUUUUUUCCGACAAUCUGAAUUUCUAUCAAGUAAAACUCUGUCUCUCUGAUUACUUACUUCAAAAGAAACUUCUUUAAAUUAUCACAUUGUACCCUAUCGCUUGUCUCACAAGAAAACCAGCCAAACAUAUUCCACAAUACGGAUCUAGGGUUCUUGCUUCCUCCUCUGACUUUCUCUAUCUCUUUUCGGAGUAAGAAGAAAUGGAGCUUGGAGAUUCAGCGGCGGUGAUUCCAGACUCGUUCAUGGGAUACAGAGACGACAUCACAAUGCAGAUGUCAAUGAUCUUGGACCAGAUUCGAGCUCCGUUGAUCGUCCCAGUCCUUAGGCUCGCGGUUUAUAUCUGCUUAACGAUGUCGGUGAUGCUAUUUGUGGAAAGGGUUUACAUGGGAAUAGUAAUCUCACUCGUGAAACUCUUUGGUCGGAAGCCAGAGAAACGUUUCAAAUGGGAACCGAUGAAAGACGACAUCGAGCUCGGAAACUCUGUUUAUCCUAUGGUUCUUGUUCAAAUCCCAAUGUACAAUGAACGAGAGGUACCAAAUUAAAUCGAAACUCUUGUCUCUUUUUCUUUUUUACUUUGCUUUGUUAUGAAUUAACACGAAUUAAAUUUGAAGAAAGCAAAAGAACCAAAAUGAUCGAGGCAAAUACCCAUUUAAGUUUAGUAUAUUAUUUUGAACAAAAAAAAAGUUUAGUAUAUUAUUAUUAUGUGAAUAAACAAUUUUACAAUUUCAAUAACUACUUCCGGCCAAAGAAUGCUGGUAUUCUACCGGUGUACAAAAAUUUAAGACACUUCUAGAAUUAACAGCUUUGUUUAUUAAUCUUGUUAUGUUGUUAAUGCAGGUUUAUCAGCUAUCUAUUGGAGCUGCUUGUGGGCUCUCGUGGCCGUCUGAUCGAAUCGUCAUUCAAGUUCUUGAUGAUUCCACUGACCCAACGAUCAAAGUAAGCUCAAGAACUGGUCUUUUGAUUCUUGAAAAAGAUCCAAUUUACGAGCUUCUUGUUUUUUUGUUUGAGCAGGAUCUAGUGGAGAUGGAGUGUAGUAGAUGGGCGAGUAAAGGAGUGAACAUAAAGUAUGAGAUCAGAGACAACAGAAACGGCUACAAAGCUGGAGCUCUGAAAGAAGGUAUGAAGAAGAGUUAUGUCAAAAGCUGCGAUUACGUUGCGAUCUUCGACGCUGAUUUUCAGCCUGAACCGGAUUAUCUCUGGAGAACCGUACCGUUCCUCCUCCAUAACCCUAAGCUUGCUCUCGUUCAAGCUCGCUGGAAAUUCGGUAAUUUUUUUAUAUUUUUGACUGUUUUACCUGGUUGACCCACUUUUAUUGUUGUUGUCACGUGAUUGGUAAGUGCUAAUAAUCAGUAUUCAGUGCUUAGCUAGAAAGUUUACACACGGUUUUGAGAUUCGUUUUUUUUUAUCUGAAUUACUACUCGCUUUUUAGGCUAAGUAAUGAUAAUUACAGAAUCAUUUGAUCAGUGAACAUUAACUAAUUACAUAUACUUUGUGUGUUAAUAAUGUUCUUCUUUUUUUUUGUUUAAUACUAGUAUUAAAUUAUGACUUUUCGAAUGGAGGACUAAUUGGAGACGGCAGAGAUGGCUCAUAUUAAAUUAAUACAUAUAAGUAGAUUUAAUUGUAAGUGGAAAAAAAUUAGAACCUAUGAACGUAUUAUAAGACAUCAUAAGCUAAUAGCACAUGAGUUGAUCACUGUUCUAAGAGAAUCUUAUUUUAUAGUAAUUUAAAAGCAUGGGGUUUAAUAAUUUAAUAAGAAAAUUAUGUUUACAUAAAGAAAGUUUUUGUUACAUUAACAGAAGUGUCGGUGGGUGUUUUAUACUUUUAUUGAUAGGUCCCAAUAUAACCUAACCUAGCGGAUCUUGAUGUCGACGUAUCGAUUUUGUUCGUGAUCUUCGUGCUCUAGCUUUAAAAUUUUAAAUGUGGAGCCACUUUCUUUUGCAAAUAGUUUUUAUUAGUACUAACAAAUUAUUUUUGAAUGAUCUAGAGGCAUAUUCCAUAUAAUAUAGGCAAUAUCCCUUCUAACAAAUCCCAUAUUAAAUAGAAGAAAACAUUUCGGGAAAUAUAAGAAAACAUCAAGGAAUAUAAAGUUUAAUAUUUUGUUGUCCUUUGUGUUAGGUAUGCCUGCAGUAGGAGUUGGUAAAUAUUUGGUUUGUGUGUCUGGCUUUUUGUUGAUUUUUGAUGAAAAAUAUGCAUUGUCCACACAUUUUCAACAGAGUGAUGUUUUUCCACAUUAGUCAAUAGAUUGUCCACCAGUGAAUCUAUAACUUCUGGCAUUCAAAAGCUGCAGCGUAUUUAGCUUUGAACGAUCUAGCCUUCAUAAAAAGAACACCCGAAUUUUGAAGUAAUUUCUUCGAAUAAAAAAUAAAUUUUGCAUGCAAACAUUCAUCGACAUAUUAAAAUUUAGAAAACCAAAAUAUAAAUAAUCAACCAGCACGAGUUAGUCUGGUCUGGUGGUAUACGGCUUGCGGCUGCAAGUACGGUCUCGGAUUCGACUCGCACUGGUCACCAGGGAAUUUACAUGCGGACUUGUUCUGGCGUCCGAGACCGAAGACCAUUGCCUGGCCAUGACCCACUUUCGGGUGUGCGUCCGCGCCGAUAAAAGUUCAGUCUCUAGUCUGGACCACUACGGUGGGGUCUGGACACUCGGUUAUCAAAAAAUAAAAAAUAAAUAAUAAAUAAUCAGAUUAGAACAGAGCUUAGUGUUUAGUGGCGUUGCUUCACUGGCACGUGGUCGUGUCCCAUAAUGAGUGCAGAGAACAUAUAGGGAAGGGGCUUGUUUUGUCAUUUAGUAAAUAUAGUAUUAGGUAGAUCAGUCAUUUUUGUUAGUAGAUACGCCACGUGUACUUGCCAGCGCCCUCUAUCUUCCAUGUGCAAUAUCUGGGUCCCACACUGGUCUCUUCUCUACUAGUCUCUGUCACUCUCAUCACUCACUUUUCUUUUUCAAGUAAAAUUUGUUUGUUUUUUUUACUUCCAGUACUAAUACAACCAAUUAUUGAAACUCGCUUUUAUUUUAUUAACGAUGCUUUUAGUCUCACGAGCUAUUUUAUUUUAGACAAUAAAAAUAGUAAUAAUAAAAAGAAAUCAUGUGAACUUGUGAAGUAGAUUGACAAAAUCUAACGAGUUGUUGAAAUCUAAUUGGGGAAGACCGGAAGAGUCUGAGCUGUCUAUAGUUUGUUUUUGAGCUGUCUAUAGUUUGAUAAUUGAAAAUAUUUAUUUCAAUGUCACCAACUAGUUUUUAAUGUCUUCAUCAAUGUCACAUUCAUUGAUUGUUUUGCUAUGAUUGUUUUGCUAUGCAUAUAUUAAUUGAAUUCCAUUAUUCAAAUUUGUUCCUUCUAAUUUUGCAGUAAAUUCGGAUGAAUGUUUGAUGACAAGAAUGCAAGAAAUGUCUCUGGAUUAUCAUUUUACGGUCGAACAAGAAGUUGGUUCUUCUACUUACGCCUUCUUCGGUUUCAACGGUACUUACUUUUUUCCUCUUCAUUAUACUUUCUCGUCUUAUUUCAGUUUCAUAACAUUUGCUUGCUUACUAUCAUUUUAGGGACUGCGGGAAUAUGGAGAAUAUCGGCAUUAAACGAAGCUGGUGGUUGGAAAGAUAGAACAACCGUAGAAGAUAUGGACCUGGCCGUUCGAGCUAGUCUCAAGGGUUGGAAAUUUUUGUACCUUGGUUCGUUGAAGGUAUACCUUGUCUCUCCAUUAUUUAACAAUGCGUAUGCGUCAAUUAGUGGUUGAUAUAUGAUUUUAAAAUAAUAUAGGUUAAAAACGAGUUGCCAAGUACAUUCAAGGCGUAUAGGUAUCAACAGCACAGGUGGUCAUGUGGUCCAGCAAAUCUUUUCAGGAAAAUGGCAUUCGAAAUCAUGACCAACAAGGUUUGUAACUCCUUCUUUCUCCCUCCACACUGAAUGAACCGGUUAAUUAACCAGUACUUACAUUCAACAUAUCAAACCUAAACCGGAAAGUUUCUCUAGUUUUGGUUGGUCUCCACAUUUAUUUAAGUUCUGCUUUAAAUUGGUUUUUCUUUCUUUUUGCCAGAACGUGACUUUAUGGAAGAAAGUUCAUGUGAUAUAUAGCUUCUUCGUAGUGAGAAAGAUUGUGGCACACAUUGUUACAUUCAUCUUCUAUUGUGUGGUCUUACCGGCUACGGUUCUUGUACCUGAAGUUACUGUACCUAAAUGGGGAGCGGUUUACAUUCCGUCCAUCAUUACUCUGCUCAACGCUGUCGGUACACCUAGGUAAAAAAAAUAUUCCAAAGAUUUUCUUACGGCUCAAGUGACGUCUCGUUUAGCCUCUCGUUGUUUGUUACACGUAUCUUAUAGGUCACUACAUCUCAUGGUAUUUUGGAUUCUGUUCGAGAAUGUGAUGUCUCUUCACAGAACAAAAGCUACCUUCAUCGGUUUACUCGAAGGAGGAAGAGUUAACGAGUGGAUUGUCACUGAGAAGCUCGGUGAUCUUAAGGCUAAGUCAGCAACCAAGGCUCCAAAGAAGCUUCGUUUUAGAUUUGGAGAUAGGUAAGCUUCUCCACGUGUCUUAUAGGUCACUGAAUCUUAUUUGCACUUUUGUUUCAUUCUAAUAACUUUUCUUUGGCAGAAUCCAUGUGUUGGAACUCGGUGUAGGAAUGUAUCUGUUUUCUAUCGGAUGCUAUGACGCGUUAUUUGGGAAGAAUCAUUAUUAUCUAUACCUUUUCGCGCAAGCAUUCGCCUUCUUCAUCGCUGGAUGUGGGCAGAUUGGGACAGUGGUGCCUAACUAUUGAAUGGAAAAUGGAUUGAUCGAGCUACAAACUGCUCGAGAAUAAGAUGAUGAUUUUAUAUUUUUUUCUUGGCUACUCUUUAAUUUCUUCCUGGUGUGAAUAGAGAGAAUUGAUGAUACGAUUGUUACAGAAGAUGGUGUGUGUAGUUGUGGAAGAUAUGGAUACCUAUAGUAAAGAAGAAUAUAUAUAUUUUCAAGGGGGGUUUUCAUAUUCCUCAAAGACAAUACAUCAUUUCUUGCAAGACAAAAGCUUUUGAUUCCAAUUUCUUUGUAUCAAAUUAUUGUAUUGUACAAAUAUGGAGGUACAUGAUAAAGGAAGUCAUAGUUUCCGAUGCUCCGCCGCCUUUCAAUAAUGCCUGAGAUCUGGUUUCCGCCAUAGUUUCCGAUCGCUUCGCCACCGUUUCCGAGGAAAGAAUGUCUCUGAUACCACUGAUAAAAGAAGUCACUCCUUUAUGAUCGAUCUAAUGUUCUUGAAACACCAAAUCGUAGCUCUCGAGUAAUAGAUCUAUAAGAGAGAAAGAUCUAAAUCCUCAAAUAACAAUCCAUGAAUCGAUAUUAGAAUUCCAGAGGUUUUUAAGAAAGUUUUACAAAUGAUUUCUGAAUGAACUGAAUAGAGUACGCAGACUCUGUUUUAUCUACUCCAAAAGAUGAACUCCUCCGAUCAGCUGGCGCGAAGCCGUUGUAACAAACUCUUAACUUCUCCCUUCCUCCACUAGUUACUCAACACGUGUCUCUUACUUCUCCUGUAUCAGUACACGAUAAUCACAUUCUAUGAAAUAGCUUGCAACAUGCAGGAUUUGAAAGAAUUGUCAUCUUUUGCAUCUUUUAUUCAAACAAACGUUGCCUUUGUGGUCGCUACUUCUAUAAUGUUUGAAGGUUUUCUUUCGAAUGAGAAAGAAUGAUAAAUUGUUUUCUUUAUUGCAUAUAGUGGGCCAUAUAGUGGUAACUGAACGUUUAUAUUGUUUGGUUUCUUCAGUUCAGUUGAAACAUAGUUUCUAGAUGACCAAAUUUUUAUGGGUUUGGACUAAAAAAAAAUUACUAAACCACCAUACACAGAAUAAAACUGGAUCUACAAAAAAAUUGCAAAUUUGCAAUCAUAUCAAAAAUGAUAUUAGUGUAAGUCUUUUUAAUCUAGAUUGGACAUGUAACAAGGUUCAGAAAAGGAAAAAAACAAUUUGCAGGCUGAACAGUGACUAAUUACAUAUACUUUGUGUGUUAAUAAUGUUUUUUUAAUACUAUUAAAUUAUGACUUUUGAAUGUAAGACUAAUUGGAGAGGGUAGAGAUGGGUCAUAUUAAAUUAAUACAUAUAUCUAAGAUUAAAACCUAUGAACGUAUUAUAAGAUAUCAUAAACUAAUAGCACAUGAGUUGAUCACUGUUUUAAGAGAAUCUUAUUUUACAGUAAUUUAAAAGCAUGGGUUUAUUUAUUUAAUAAGAAAAUUAUGUUUACAUAAAGAAAGUUUUUAUUACAUUAACAGAAGUGUCGGUGGGUGUUUUAUACUUUUAUUGAUAGGUCCCAAUAUAACCUAACCUAGCGGAUCUUGAUGUCGACGUAUCGAUUUUGUUCGUGAUCUUCGUGCUCUAGCUUUAAAAUUUUAAAUGUGGAGCCACUUUCUUUUGCAAAUAGUUUUUAUUAGUACUAACAAAUUAUUUUUGAAUGAUCUAGAGGCAUAUUCCAUAUAAUAUAGGCAAUAUCCCUUCUAACAAAUCCCAUAUUAAAUAGAAGAAAACAUUUCGGGAAAUAUAAGAAAACAUCAAGGAAUAUAAAGUUUAAUAUUUUGUUGUCCUUUGUGUUAGGUAUGCCUGCAGUAGGAGUUGGUAAAUAUUUGGUUUGUGUGUCUGGCUUUUUGUUGAUUUUUGAUGAAAAAUAUGCAUUGUCCACACAUUUUCAACAGAGUGAUGUUUUUCCACAUUAGUCAAUAGAUUGUCCACCAGUGAAUCUAUAACUUCUGGCAUUCAAAAGCUGCAGCGUAUUUAGCUUUGAACGAUCUAGCCUUCAUAAAAUAAACACCCGAAUUUUGAAGUAAUUUCUUCGAAUAAAAAAUAAGUUUUGCAUGCAAACAUUCAUCGACAUAUUAAUAUUUAGAAAACCAAAAUAUAAAUAAUCAGAUUAGAACAGAGCUUAGUGUUUAGUGGCGUUGCUUCACUGGCAUCGUGGUCGUGUCCCAUAAUUAGUGCAGAGAACAUAUAGGGAAGGGGCUUGUUUUGUCAUUUAGUAAAUAUAGUAUUAGGUAGAUCAGUCAUUUUUGUUAGUAGAUACGCCACGUGUACUUGCCAGCGCCCUCUAUCUUCCAUGUGCAAUAUCUGGGUCCCACACUGGUCUCUUCUCUACUAGUCUCUGUCACUCUCAUCACUCACUUUUCUUUUUCAAGUAAAAUUUGUUUGUUUUUUUUUACUUCCAGUACUAAUACAACCAGCUAUUGAAACUCGCUUUUAUUUUAUUAACGAUGUCUUUUAGUCUCACGAGCUAUUUUAUUUUAGACAAAAAAAAUAGUAAUAAUAAAAAGAAAUCAUGUGAACUUGUGAAGUAGAUCGACAAAAUCUAACGAGUUGUUGAAAUCUAAUUGGGGGAGAUCAGAAGAGUCUGAGCUGUCUAUAGUUUUUUUUUUUAGCUGUCUAUAGUUUGAUAAUUGAAAAUAUUUAUUUCAAUGUCACCAACUGGUUUUUAAUGUCUUCAUCAAUACCACAUUAAUUGAUUGUUUGCUACGCAAAUAUUAAUUGAAAUCCAUUAUUCAAUUUUUGUUCCUUCUAAUUUUGCAGUAAAUUCGGAUGAAUGUUUAAUGACAAGAAUGCAAGAAAUGUCGUUGGAUUAUCAUUUUACGGUCGAACAAGAAGUUGGUUCUUCUACAUACGCAUUCUUCGGUUUCAACGGUACUUACUUUGUUUCUUUUCAUUAUAUAUUGUUGUCUUAUUCAAGUUUCAUAACAUUUGCUUACUAUCAUUUUAGGGACUGCGGGAAUAUGGAGAAUAUCGGCAUUAAACGAAGCUGGUGGUUGGAAAGAUAGAACGACCGUAGAAGAUAUGGAUUUGGCCGUUCGAGCUAGUCUCAAGGGUUGGAAAUUUUUGUACCUUGGUUCUUUGAAGGUAUACUUUGCCUCUUCAUGAUUCAACAAUGUGUAUGUAUUAGUGGUUGAUAUGCAAAUAGUUUUAUUGAUACAUGUGGUUGUUAAAUAUUAUAGGUUAAAAACGAGUUACCAAGUACAUUCAAGGCGUAUAGGUAUCAACAGCACAGGUGGUCAUGUGGUCCAGCAAAUCUUUUCAGGAAAAUGGCAUUUGAAAUCAUGACCAACAAGGUUUUUACUUUAAACUCUUUUCUUCUCCCUCCACACUAAAAUAGAAAAAUGAACUGGUUAAUUCAGUAAGUUAACCAAUACUUACAUUCAACAUAUCAAACCCAAAAACGUUUCUCUAGUUUUGUAGUCUUGGUUGGUCUCCACAUUUAUUUAAGUUCCCGUUUAAAUAGAUUUUUUUUUCUUUUUGGCAGAACGUGACAUUAUGGAAGAAAGUUCAUGUGAUAUAUAGCUUCUUCGUGGUGAGAAAGAUCGUGGCACACAUUGUUACAUUCAUCUUCUAUUGUGUGGUCUUACCGGCUACGGUUCUUGUACCUGAAGUUAUUGUACCUAAAUGGGGAGCGGUUUACAUUCCGUCCAUCAUUACUCUCCUCAACGCCGUCGGUACACCUAGGUAAAUAAAUAUCCCAAAGAGUUUCUUACGGCUCAAGUGACGUCUCGUUUAGCCUCUCAUUGUUUGUUACACGUAUCUUAUAGGUCACUCCAUCUCAUGGUAUUUUGGAUUCUGUUCGAGAAUGUGAUGUCUCUUCACAGAACAAAAGCUACUUUCAUCGGUUUACUCGAAGGAGGAAGAGUUAACGAGUGGAUUGUCACUGAGAAGCUCGGUGAUCUCAAGGCUAAGUCAGCAACCAAGGCUCCAAAGAAGCUUCGUUUUAGAUUUGGAGAUAG
rnacentral:lncRNA from 1 species